GCGCUAAUAGUGCAGUGGUUAGCACGUGCCCAAGAAAAGGCGGGAAGUGGGCUCGCUUCCCGUUUAGCGUU